rnacentral:rRNA from 1 species
UACGUAGGUGGCAAGCGUUGUCCGGAAUUAUUGGGCGUAAAGAGCGUGUAGGCGGCCCGGUAAGUCCGCUGUGAAAGUCAAAGGCUCAACCUUUGAAAGCCGAUGGAUACUGCAGGGCUAGAGUCCGGAAGAGGCGAGUGGAAUUCCUGGUGUAGCGGUGGAAUGCGCAGAUAUCAGGAGGAACACCAAUAGCGAAGGCAGCUCGCUGGGACGGUACUGACGCUAAGGCGCGAAAGCGUGGGGAGCAAACAGG